GCCUAGAUAGCUUAGUUGGUUAGAGCAGGCAUAGGCAACCUCGGCCCUCCAGAUGCUUUGGGACUACAACUCCCAUCAUCCCUGACCACUGGUCCUGUUAGCUAGGGAUGAUGGGAGUUGUAGUCCCAAAACAUCUGGAGGGCCGAGGUUGCCUAUGCCUGGGUUACAAUGUGGUGCUGAUCAUGCCAAGGUUGCAGGUUCAAUCCCUGUAUUGGACA